GGGUUGUGAGGUUAAGCGACUAAGCGUACACGGUGGAUGCCCUGGCAGUCAGAGGCGAUGAAGGACGUGCUAAUCUGCGAUAAGCGCCGGUAAGGUGAUAUGAACCGUUAUAACCGGCGAUUUCCGAAUGGUGAAACCCAUUGUGACUCGUCACACUAUCAUUUACUGAAUCCCUAGGUUAUUGAGGCGAACCGGGGGAACUGACACAUCUAAGUACCCCGAGGAAAAGAAAUCAAUCGAGAUUCCCCCAGUAGCGGCGAGCGAACGGGGAUGAGCCCAGAGCCUUAAUCAGCAUAUGUGUUAGUGGAAGCGUCUGGAA
rnacentral:rRNA from 1 species